rnacentral:rRNA from 1 species
UGGUAAAAGAUGGCUAUGCGUCUUAUUAGCUAGAUGGUAAGGUAACGGCUUACCAUGGCAACGAUAAGUAGGGGCCCUGAGAGGGGGAUCCCCCACACUGGUACUGAGACACGGACCAGACUCCUACGGGAGGCAGCAGUGAGGAAUAUUGGGCAAUGGAGGCAACUCUGACCCGGCCAUGCCGCGUGCAGGAAGACUGCCCUAUGGGUUGUAAACUGCUUUUAUACAGGAAGAAACACACCUACGUGUAGGUGCUUGACGGUACUGUAAGAAUAAGCAC